rnacentral:tRNA from 1 species
UAGUAGGUAAACUAUUUUAAGUUGUUGGGUUCAUAGCCCUUUUAAGGUUUAAUCCUCUACUCG